AUGGGAGAGUGCAUGAGUUGUGUGGCUCCUCGCCAAAAUGAUGCUGACGAUCUUCCCCUGGCGGGGCUGCUAUUAGUUAUCCCCAAGAUCCUGGACGCUGAGAAGGAUAGCGGAUCUGCUGCAUAUUCUAUGUGGGAGACCCAUGUGCUUCAGAGGGAUAAUGUUUCUGCUGUCUCCAUCUUGUCUCUGGCGCCCAAGGACAUGGAAGACUAUGACUACUUCUGGGCUGUUCUCACUGGCACCAAAAUGGAAGAGGACUGGAAGCUGAAGUUUCUGGCCUCGAUCCGCACCAUCUGCAGCAACACGGUGCAGAAGAGAUACAUGUACCUGCCCUGUGACAUGCUGGGAGUGGAGGAGAAGGUGAGGGGAUACCCAGUGGGGCGGGGAGGGGGAAAGGGUGAGCUGUCCGGGCACCAGCCCAGCAGUCAGAACAGCACAGGGGUUUCUGCGCACAGGGGAGGGUGGGACGGGCCUCUGUGGGCACAGAGCAGCCUGGCCCGUGCCCCCCUUUACCCCGCCCCCGUCUUGACGCCAAUGCUGGUAUAGUGCCAGCAACGCUCUGCCUGCCCUGCAGAUCAGUGCCAGCCCCUGGCAGCUUCCCGUGUCCCAUCCUGACCAUGUUGUCUCUCUCCAGAUGCAACUGCCUGAGUCUUCCUCCGACCACCUGCGCACUCUGAUGCUCCUGGGCUGGCAAGCUGCGUAUGCCAUCAGUGAAAGGAGGUACCUGCCCCAGACCUUGGCUUGGCCAGGGCCUCUCCACAGCAUGGGCCUGACAGUAGCGGGCUUCCCCCACCCGGGCAGGACUUUGGUGCUCUGUCUUAGGGCCUCAGCUCUCCCCUGCGCCAGAUAGGAGGGCAGAGGGUGCCAUGCCGGCAGAGCCAGCCGGCAGAGCCGGCAGGGGCUCUCCAUUGUCUCCCUGCCCAGCUUUUUUCCCUGAAGGGAGAGAGGCAGGAGCUGGAAAGGGCUUUGUGCACUGCAUGCCAUGACUGCCCUC
rnacentral:lncRNA from 1 species